rfam:Homo sapiens chromosome 10, GRCh38 reference primary assembly.
GCUGGGCAUGGUGGCGCAUGCCUGUAGUCCUAGCUACUUGGGAAGCUGAGGCGGGAGGAUCACUAGAGCCCAGGAGGUCGAGACUGCAGUGAGCUGGGAUUGCGCCACUGCACUCCAGCCUGGGCGACAGAGCAAGACCCUGUCUCCA